GACGCCAUGCCAAGGUGGGUGGGUCUCGAUGACGGUUUCUAUACUCUACAAGGUAGCUGUGUUUGUUAUUUGAUCCUCCACAUAUACGAAGACACUUUCGACAAUUGAGUGUUUUGAAUGUUUUGC
rnacentral:ribozyme from 1 species